ACCAUCGAGGACCUGCGGGACAAGAUUCUUGGUGCCACCAUUGAGAACGCCAGGAUUGUCCUGCAGAUCAACAAU
rfam:Homo sapiens chromosome 12, GRCh38 reference primary assembly.